rnacentral:rRNA from 1 species
GAUGAACGCUGGCGGCGUGCCUAAUACAUGCAAGUCGAGCGAACAGACGAGGAGCUUGCUCCUCUGACGUUAGCGGCGCACGGGUGAGUAACACGUGGAUAACCUACCUAUAAGACUGGGAUAACUUCGGGAAACCGGAGCUAAUACCGGAUAAUAUAUUGAACCGCAUGGUUCAAUAGUGAAAGACGGUUUUGCUGUCACUUAUAGAUGGAUCCGCGCCGCAUUAGCUAGUUGGUAAGGUAACGGCUUACCAAGGCAACGAUGCGUAGCCGACCUGAGUGGGUGAUCGGCCACACUGGAACUGAGACACGGUCCAGACUCCUACGGGAGGCAGCAGUAGGGAAUCUUCCGCAAUGGGCGAAAGCCUGACGGAGCAACGCCGCGUGAGUGAUGAAGGUCUUCGGAUCGUAAAACUCUGUUAUUAGGGAAGAACAAAUGUGUAAGUAACUAUGCACGUCUUGACGGUACCUAAUCAGAAAGCCACGGCUAACUACGUG